UACAGAAUGGCCACUGAAGCUUCAUGUUUGU
rnacentral:piRNA from 1 species